AGGCUGAAACUUAAAGGAAUUGGCGAGGGAGCACUACAACGGGUGGAGCCUGCGGUUUAAUUGGAUUCAACGCCGGGAAGCUUACCGGGGGAGACAGCUGGAUGAAGGUCGGGCUGAAGACCCUACCAGACUAGCUGAGAGGUGGUGCAUGGCCGCCGUCAGUUCGUACUGUGAAGCAUCCUGUUAAGUCAGGCAACGAGCGAGACCCGCGCCCCCAGUUGCCAGCAGAUCCCUUCGGGGAUGCUGGGCACACUGAGGGGACUGCCGGCGCUAAGUCGGAGGAAGGUGCGGGCAACGGCAGGUCCGUAUGCCCCGAAUCCCUCGGGCUACACGCGGGCUACAAUGGCCGGGACAAUGGGUACCGACCCCGAAAGGGGGAGGUAAUCCCCUAAACCCGGCCCCACCUGGGAUCGAGGGCUGCAACUCGCCCUCGUGAACCUGGAAUCCGUAGUAAUC
rnacentral:rRNA from 1 species